UACGAAGGGGGCUAGCGUUGUUCGGAAUUACUGGGCGUAAAGCGCGCGCAGGCGGUUCGGUAAGUUGGGGGUGAAAUCCCCGGGCUCAACCCGGGAAUUGCCUUCAAGACUGUCGAGCUAGAGGACGAGAGAGGUGAGUGGAAUUCCCAGUGUAGAGGUGAAAUUCGUAGAUAUUGGGAAGAACACCGGUGGCGAAGGCGGCUCACUGGCUCGUUUCUGACGCUGAGGCGCGAAAGCGUGGGGAGCAAACAGG
rnacentral:rRNA from 1 species